UGACCAGUUUGUAAGCUGUGAUACACAACAUUCAGAAAACAUCUAAAAUUAGCAUCUGUCAAGUAGCAUAUGCUUAACAAAUGCCUAAAACCCAGUGUGGCUCCUCCACAGAGAGUUUCACCCUGGAUCAGAAGGACAGGUGUCUCCUACUCCCUGAUGCAGGCCUUCCAGCCACUUCUGCAGCCAAGAGCCCACUCCAGAACAAGGAAUCAGCACAAUGGGAAACACUUCUUCCUUUGGCAUGUGUGACUCAAGCACUACACUUAGCUAAGGACACCGCUAAGCUGGAGCAAGUGGAUCUCUCUGGUAGCCCGGGGAAUCUCUUCCUUAUGCACCCUAAAGUUGGGUUUAGACUAGAAGCCUCAGUGUACUUACACCAGCACCUUCCGAUGGGGUGCAUGGUGUGGUGUGAUAAAGCAGGGAAGGGCACCUGCCCAUCUACAGGGACCCAGACAGCAACAGGGCUCUGACCCAGCAUCCCCACUGCUGGAUGCUCUGUGCACCCCUGUGGUUGUUCAUCUAGCUCACAGGGGAAGAAAGCCAACUAGCCAGAGGUCUCAGCAUUGGGAAGCAAAACAAUUCAACGGCCCUGAACGCGUUAGAAUAUUCAUACACACACAAAUGCAAAACAAAUGCUGCUUCACACAAGGCAGCCUCUGAGUACCAUUAGAAGAAAACUGAGAACUUGAGUUCUCGUUCAGGCUUUGUUUAGUAUCCUCAUCUGUAAAAUUGAGUCGCAGGAGAGGGUGAGGGUAAUGACUACCAACAGAGUUGUGGGAUGAAAUAUAGGAUGCCCAGUGAUGCUUGAAUCUCAGGUAUAUUUAAAUAUUUUUUAAGGAUGCAUCAAGUAGUAUUUGUCCCAAACAGUAUUUUCAUUUCCGGCACCCUUAGUGUUGCCAGCAUAUCGUCACAAGGUAGAUGAUAUGGGGUAAAAUUUGUAAACUGUGAUGUACAACAUUCAGUCGGCCAGUAGAUAGGAGAGUCCAUGUGUCUCGUUUGCCAGCUCCUGGAAGCAGGGAUCAUGAUUUACCAAAUUGCAACUUAUUACCAUAUAUGGUAAGCACACAGUGCCUUCAGUUAGGGGCCCUGACAAAAGGACAGUCAGGUGUCCUCAGUAGGCGGUCAGGUGAUGGGAAAGGCGGCUGCGCAGGAGGCUGCAAGCAUCGGCAGCAGCUGCAGACUGAGCAAGCUGGCCUGGGCCCUCCCUGCCCACCGCACGUGGGAGCCACGGAGCCUGCCACACCCCACAGCGGGGACCGGAAGUGGAUCUGCAGCACCUGCGACGACGAAAUGCAGUCCGCAGCUGCCAGAGCAAAGGACACUGCAAUAGAAUUACUACUGAAAGAUUAUAAACCUGAAAAGAUAUUUUAAGAGAGGAAUAAACUACAGCAUAGAAGAGCAACGUGACAUAAUUUUACAGCUAGAAAGCCAACGCCUGGGUGGUUUCCAACCAAGCCAUUUAUGAGCCUUCACUGCCGCUUUCCCAAGCAUCUCUUCACUGAAGACUUGUGAAUACUCGUCUUGCACACUGAGAAGUACGAAGAUGGGUCCUAGCUCUUUCUUCGGUAUUCUCAUGGGGUACAGAUUGUUUCUUUUGUGUUUAUGAGAGCUAUGAAGGCUGACUUUUUUCAUAUAUAUUUUAAAAAAGACCCUUUUCUUUUAAUGAAUUGGAAUUCUUCAUGGUAUAGAACUAACCUUUUGUUCUUUGGUUUGUGCAAUAUACAAAUAGCAUGUGCAUCUGCUUCUACACAAGCACAUACUUGUGCAUUUCUAUUUUGAAGUUAUUACCUUUUUGCCUAUUAUAAAUAAUACUAUACUAUACUAUAUCGCUUGGAUGCUUUAAUUACCCAAACUAAUUUUUAGUCUUUGUAGGUUCAAAGCUCUUUACAUAAACAUUGCUUUCAUCACAUUUUCUUUUGGCUUUCUAUAAGGUUUUAUUUUUUCCACUCAAACAGUCGAUCUGUUUUGAAUUUAUUUUAUUAGUCUUAUUUUGUCCUUAGAGACAUAACUAAGUUAAUUUUUUUUUCUGGUACAAGGGAUCGAACUCAGGACCUUGCACUUGCCAGGCAAGCACUGAGCUAUAUCCCUGGCCUGGUAUUCAGGAAUUAACGCAUCCUUUUCCAAUUAUUUAAAAGGUGGGGGCCAGGGAGAUGGCUCAGUGGAAUAAGUGCUUGCCUGGCAAGCGCAAGGGCCUG